ensembl:snoRNA
CUGGCCCUGAAUCAAGGCCGGCAGCUUCCUGACACUGUUGGUUUCAAGCAAGAGCCUAAAGAGAUGUCUUUCUAUAGUCUGUUGGCCAUUUCAGAAUGUGGUCAAUUCAUUAGAAAAAAACAGCU